rnacentral:rRNA from 1 species
AACUGACCGAUAGUGAACCAGUACCGUGAGGGAAAGGCGAAAAGAACCCCUGUGAGGGGAGUGAAAUAGAACCUGAAACCGUGUACGUACAAGCAGUAGGAGCAGACUUGUUCUGUGACUGCGUACCUUUUGUAUAAUGGGUCAGCGACUUAUAUUUUGUAGCGAGGUUAACCGAUUAGGGUAGCCGUAGGGAAACCGAGUCUUAACUGGGCGAAUAGUUGCAAGGUAUAGACCCGAAACCCGGUGAUCUAGCCAUGGGCAGGUUGAAGGUUGAGUAACAUCAACUGGAGGACCGAACCCACUAACGUUGAAAAGUUAGGGGAUGACCUGUGGCUAGGAGUGAAAGGCUAAUCAAACCGGGAGAUAGCUGGUUCUCCCCGAAAUCUAUUUAGGUAGAGCCUCGGACGAAUACUUACGGGGGUAGAGCACUGUUAAGGCUAGGGGGUCAUCCCGACUUACCAACCCUUUGCAAACUCCGAAUACCGUAAAGUAAUAUCCGGGAGACACACGGCGGGUGCUAACGUCCGUCGUGAAGAGGGAAACAACCCAGACCGCCAGCUAAGGUCCCAAAGUCAUAGUUAAGUGGGAAACGAUGUGGAAAGGCCCAGACAGCCAGGAGGUUGGCUUAGAAGCAGCCAUCCUUUAAAGAAAGCGUAAUAGCUCACUGGUCGAGUCGGUCUGCGCGGAAGAUGUAACGGGGCUAAACUAUGCACCGAAGCUGCGGAUUCAGAAUUUAUUCUGAGUGGUAGGGGAGCGUUCUGUAAGCGGUUGAAGGUGUACCGGGAGGUAUGCUGGACGUAUCAGAAGUGCGAAUGCUGACAUGAGUAACGAUAAUGCGGGUGAAAAACCCGCACGCCGGAAGACCAAGGGUUCCUAUCCCAUGUUAAUCAGGGUAGGGUAAGUCGACCCCUAAGGCGAGGCCGAAAGGCGUAGUCGAUGGGAAACGGAUUAAUAUUUCCGUACUUGGUAUAAUUGCGAUGGGGGGACGGAGCAGGCUAAGCAAGCAUGGCGAUGGUAGUCCAUGUGAAAGUGUGUAGGCUAGUGACUUAGGUAAAUCCGGGUUGCUGUUAGGCUGAGACACGAGACGAGUCACCACGGUGAUGAAGUUGCUGAUGCCAUACUUCCAGGAAAAGCCUCUAAGCUUCAGAUUAUACCGAAUCGUACCCCAAACCGACACAGGUGGUCAGGUAGAGAAUACUAAGGCGCUUGAGAGAACUCGGGUGAAGGAACUAGGCAAAAUCGUACCGUAACUUCGGGAGAAGGUACGCUCCGAUUGGUGAUGAGACUUGCUCUCUAAGCUGAUUGGAGCCGCAGUGACCAGGUGGCUGGGACUGUUUAUUAAAAACACAGCACUGUGCAAAAUCGCAAGAUGACGUAUACGGUGUGACACCUGCCCGGUGCCGGAAGGUUAAUUGAUGGGGUUAUCUUCGGAGAAGCUCUUGAUCGAAGCCCCGGUAAACGGCGGCCGUAACUAUAACGGUCCUAAGGUAGCGAAAUUCCUUGUCGGGUAAGUUCCGACCUGCACGAAUGGUGUAACCAUGGCCACGCUGUCUCCACCCGAGACUCAGUGAAAUUGAAAUCGCAGUGAAGAUGCUGUGUACCCGCGGCUAGACGGAAAGACCCCGUGAACCUUUACUACAGCUUGGCACUGAACAUUGAACCUACAUGUGUAGGAUAGGUGGGAGACUUUGAAGAUGAGACGCUAGUCUUGUUGGAGUCGUCCUUGAAAUACCACCCUUGUAGUUUUGAUGUUCUAACGUUGGCCCCUGAAUCGGGGUUACGGACAGUGCCUGGUGGGUAGUUUGACUGGGGCGGUCUCCUCCCAAAGAGUAACGGAGGAGCACGAAGGUUGGCUAAGUACGGUCGGACAUCGUACGGUUAGUGUAAUGGUAGAAGCCAGCUUAACUGCGAGACAGACACGUCGAGCAGGUACGAAAGUAGGUCAUAGUGAUCCGGUGGUUCUGAAUGGAAGGGCCAUCGCUCAACGGAUAAAAGGUACUCCGGGGAUAACAGGCUGAUACCGCCCAAGAGUUCAUAUCGACGGCGGUGUUUGGCACCUCGAUGUCGGCUCAUCACAUCCUGGGGCUGAAGUCGGUCCCAAGGGUAUGGCUGUUCGCCAUUUAAAGUGGUACGCGAGCUGGGUUUAGAACGUCGUGAGACAGUUCGGUCCCUAUCU